GAAAACGGCAAAUGAGGGUCCUGGUUCCAGGCAUGAACUUAGGGACAAAGCAAAUGCCAUGUGUAUCCUUCAGCCCUCAGAUAGCUGGGAGUGGGUCAUCUGGGAGACUCUCAUGAGAAACGAAACCAGAAGAUGUUGUUUUUCUGACUUUAGAUCACUUCGGGCACGGAGGAAGAGCAUGGGCAGCUGGCCCAGGACCCACCAUAUCACCUGAGCCAAGCAGGAGAGGCCCCUGCUCACCCUUGCAAAUGCGCUUGCCUUUGUCAGUGUCAACAGUCAAUACAGGGAAGUAGCAUGAGAAUGUGGCUGAGUUCCUCGGCCUUUCUUAGGACACAGUCAUCUUCGUUUUGCAUUUAAGGCAAGCUGAAGUGCUUAACAGCGGUGAGGUGCGGUCCAAAGCCUCUGUGUGCUUGAACUCACUGGAUCCUCUUGACAACCCCACAUGACAG
ensembl:lncRNA